rnacentral:rRNA from 1 species
UACGUAGGCAGCGAGCGUUGUUCGGAAUUACUGGGCGUAAAGAGUGUGUAGGCGGUGCUCUAAGUUUGGUGUGAAAUCUCCCGGCUCAACUGGGAGGGUGCGCCGAAUACUGAAUGACUAGAGUGCGGGAGAGGAUAGUGGAAUUCCUGGUGUAGCGGUGAAAUGCGUAGAUAUCAGGAGGAACACCGGUGGUGUAGACGGCUAUCUGGACCGUAACUGACGCUGAGGCACGAAAGCGUGGGUAGCAAACAGG